AUUGAACGCUGGCGGCAGGCUUAACACAUGCAAGUCGAGCGGAGAUGAGGUGCUUGCACCUUAUCUUAGCGGCGGACGGAUGAGUAAUGCUUAGGAAUCUGCCUAUUAGUGGGGGACAACAUUCCGAAAGGAAUGCUAAUACCGCAUACGUCCUACGGGAGAAAGCAGGGGAUCUUCGGACCUUGCGCUAAUAGAUGAGCCUAAGUCGGAUUAGCUAGUUGGUGGGGUAAAGGCCUACCAAGGCGACGAUCUGUAGCGGGUCUGAGAGGAUGAUCCGCCACACUGGGACUGAGACACGGCCCAGACUCCUACGGGAGGCAGCAGUGGGGAAUAUUGGACAAUGGGGGGAACCCUGAUCCAGCCAUGCCGCGUGUGUGAAGAAGGCCUUAUGGCUGUAAAGCACUUUAAGCGAGGAGGAGGCUACUGAGACUAAUACUCUUGGAUAGUGGACGUUACUCGCAGAAUAAGCACCGGCUAACUCUGUGCCAGCCGCCGCAGUAAGAC
rnacentral:rRNA from 1 species